AUGACGAAGACGAUGCCGCGUGACUCUUCAGCGAGUGGAGCGUUGGUGCCGAGCGACUCGGCGGCGAUGGCGGCUGCCGCGACGGCGGCGACGACGGCGGCGGCGGGGAAGCUCCCGUUCCCGCUGCUCACGAGGACGAACUACGCGGCGUGGGCGAUGAGGAUGAAGUACCUCUUGCGCGCCAAUGGCGCGUGGGGUGCCGUUGAUCGCGAGGCCUCAUCGGAGGUCGACAAGGGCAAGGAGGAGAUGGCCAUGACGAUAAUCUCCCAGUCCAUCGACGACUCGACGCUGCUGCGGGUUGCAGAGAAGGAGACCGCAGCCGAUGUGUGGGCGGCGCUACGCUCCAUGCAUGUGGGCGUCGAGCGCGUCCGAGAGGCGAGGAUUCAGUCCUUGCGCUCGGAGUUUGACGGCCUCAAGAUGGGUGAUGCCGAGUCCGUGGAUGACUUCGCGGCGAGGUUCACGACGCUCGUGGGGCGCAUCCGUGAGCUUGGUGAUGCGAUGGAGGAGAAGUAUGUCGUGAAGAAGCUGCUCCGAGCCGUCUCCAACAAGUUCAUCCAUGUUGCGUCGUCAAUUGCGUUGUUCGGCGACACCAACAAGAUGGCCAUGGAGGAGGCCAUUGGUUCACUCAAGGCACACGAGGAACUCGUCAAGGGGCGUGAGACGGGACGCGAAGAAGAGCAGCUCCUCAUGGCGAGAGGACACGACUCGUCGCGAGGACGGGGUCGUGGCCGUGGACGCGGUGGAGGGCGCAGAGACAAAAGUGAGGUACAGUGUUACAAUUGCCGCAAACUUGGUCACUUCGCUUGGGAGUGUCCUGAGAAGAAGAAGGAGAACGAGGAGGAGAAGGCGCUGCUGGGACAGUACGUCGACGACGAGCCAACUCUCCUUUGA
rnacentral:rRNA from 1 species